rnacentral:miRNA from 1 species
AGUGCAUCUAUGAGAUCGGGAUAGCAUUUGAUUCCUUCUUUACUUAUCCGACACAUAUAUAUAUAUAUAUAUAUAUAUAUAUAUAUAUGUGUCGGAUAAGUAAAGAAGGAAUCAAAUGCUAUCCCGAUCUCAUAGAUGCAC